rnacentral:lncRNA from 1 species
GGCAGUCUGGAGUGUGGCCCCAGGAGCGUCCAGGGUCUGGACCUGAAGGCAGACACCUUGUGCUGCAUCCGCUCUGACCCUAGCUUCUCCUAGGGGUCAGGUUGGAGCAGAAUUUGGAGGCUUAAGGUCAAGCACUUCCAGGGCUGGGUGGGCAAGGCAGGGAGCGAAACAGGUGAGGCGAGAGGAGGUCCGGGAGCUCAGCCCGGUGUCCCUCUAAAGGCCUGCUAC